rnacentral:lncRNA from 1 species
UCCCCUUCCAGGCCAGCAUCCUCCUUGGCCGUGGCCACCGGCUCCAAUUUCUUGCAGAACACACAGCCCAUUCCAGGUUCCCUGCCCUUAGGCCCCUACUCCUGGGUCAGUGGGGCUGCGGCAUGAUCCUUGGGAGGGGUCAGAGACCUCCGGAGCUCUCCUCCUAUCCCCAUACCAGAGAAAGGACCAGGUCAGAAGCUGGGGCUACCAGAGUACCUUGGGA